AUCUGUAUUAGGUGGUUAUUUUGUUAGGUGGUUUAUGGUAAUAGGGGCUGCUGAGCAAGCACACUGAGCAAUAAGGUAGUGAGAAGUCAAACCCUGUCUCCCUCCUCCCCUCCCACCAACUUCCAUUGUUCUCUUCUGUUGGAGUGAAGCUGGGAUUCAGACUGAAAAACACAGCUGAGAACCAGGAUGGAAGCCAAAAAAGAUCUCUGAGCUGCCAAAACAGGAAUGAAGAAACAGACAUUCAGAGAACGGGGGGCAACUUACCCAAAGAAGCAGAGCCGAUGGGACUCAUUCCAUGAUACCACAGCUGAUUUCAAGAGGCAGAAAUGGCAGCAGGGGCUGGAGGAAGUUCCAGAAGAAGGGAAAAUCACAAGAAAAGGCCUUAAUGAGAAGGAAUGUUUGAAGAUCCAAGGAAAAAAGGUAGAUUUCAUAUUAAGGAAUAAUACCAGAGAAGGCUACAAAAGUAGGGGGCUAGAUUGAAGACGCUUUGGUGAUCAGUGUAGA